rnacentral:rRNA from 1 species
AGCCUGGUGCUUGCACCGGGUGGAUGAGUGGCGAACGGGUGAGUAACACGUGAGUAACCUGCCCCUGACUUCGGGAUAAGCCCGGGAAACUGGGUCUAAUACCGGAUACGACUGCCGGACGCAUGUCUGGUGGUGGAAAGUUUUUUCGGUUGGGGAUGGGCUCGCGGCCUAUCAGUUUGUUGGUGAGGUAAUGGCUCACCAAGACGACGACGGGUAGCCGGCCUGAGAGGGCGACCGGCCACACUGGGACUGAGACACGGCCCAGACUCCUACGGGAGGCAGCAGUGGGGAAUAUUGCACAAUGGGGGAAACCCUGAUGCAGCGACGCAGCGUGCGGGAUGACGGCCUUCGGGUUGUAAACCGCUUUCAGCAGGGAAGAAGCGCAAGUGACGGUACCUGCAGAAGAAGUACCGGCUAACUACGUGCCAGCAGCCGCGGUAAUACGUAGGGUACGAGCGUUGUCCGGAAUUAUUGGGCGUAAAGAGCUCGUAGGUGGUUGGUCACGUCUGCUGUGGAAACGCAACGCUUAACGUUGCGCGUGCAGUGGGUACGGGCUGACUAGAGUGCAGUAGGGGAGUCUGGAAUUCCUGGUGUAGCGGUGAAAUGCGCAGAUAUCAGGAGGAACACCGGUGGCGAAGGCGGGACUCUGGGCUGUAACUGACACUGAGGAGCGAAAGCAUGGGGAGCGAACAGGAUUAGAU